ACCCACUUCAGAGCGCCCGAGAGACCUGGCUCGUUGACGGCGCGGCAACCGGACCUCAUCACGUCACGGUGCCAAGGCCAGCCCCGCAGGCGGGU
rnacentral:ncRNA from 2 species